GACGAACGCUGGCGGCGUGCCUAAUACAUGCAAGUAGAACGCUGAAGGAGGAGCUUGCUCUUCUGGAUGAGUUGCGAACGGGUGAGUAACGCGUAGGUAACCUGCCUGGUAGCGGGGGAUAACUAUUGGAAACGAUAGCUAAUACCGCAUAAAAUUGAUUAUUGCAUGAUAGUCAAUUAAAAGGUGCAAUUGCAUCACUACCAGAUGGACCUGCGUUGUAUUAGCUAGUUGGUGAGGUAACGGCUCACCAAGGCAACGAUACAUAGCCGACCUGAGAGGGUGAUCGCCCACACUGGGACUGAGACACGGCCCAGACUCCUACGGGAGGCAGCAGUAGGGAAUCUUCGGCAAUGGACGGAAGUCUGACCGAGCAACCCCGCGUGAGUGAAGAAGGUUUUCGGAUCGUAAAGCUCUGUUGUAAGGGAAAAACGGUUGGGGGGGGGGAAAGUCCAAACUGUGCCGGUAUUUUACCAAAAAGGGACGGCUACCUACGU
rnacentral:rRNA from 1 species